UACGGAGGGUGCAAGCGUUGUCCGGAUUUAUUGGGUUUAAAGGGUACGUAGGUGGCCCAUUAAGUCAGUGGUGAAAUUCUGCAGCUUAACUGUAGGACUGCCAUUGAUACUGGUGGGCUUGAGUAUUGUCGAGGCAGGCGGAAUUUAUGAUGUAGCGGUGAAAUGCAUAGAUAUCAUAAAGAACACCGAUAGCGAAGGCAGCUUGCUAGGCGAUAACUGACACUAAUGUACGAAAGCGUGGGUAGCGAACAGG
rnacentral:rRNA from 1 species